UGAGGAACAUGACCUUCGGCGGGGGAUAGCCGGCCCAACGGCCGGGUAAUACCGCGUACGACCACAUGGGGACAUCCCUGAGUGGUGAAAGCAGCAAUGCGCCGAUGGAGUGCCUCGCGGCCUAUCAGCUAGUUGGUGAGGUAACGGCUCACCAAGGCGACGACGGGUAGCCGGUCUGAGAGGAUGGCCAGCCACAUUGGGACUGAGACACGGCCCAGCUCCUAGGGAGG
rnacentral:rRNA from 1 species